UACGUAGGCAGCGAGCGUUGUUCGGAAUUACUGGGCGAAAGAGUGUGUAGGCGGUGCUCUAAGUUCGGUGUGAAAUCUCCCGGCUUAACUGGGAGGGUGCGCCGGAAACUGGAGUGCUCGAGCGUGGGAGAGGAAAGGCGGAAUUCCUGGUGUAGCGGUGAAAUGCGUAGAUAUCAGGAGGAACACCUGCGGUGUAGACGGCUUUCUGGACCAUUGCUGACGCUGGAGACACGAAAGCGUGGGUAGCAAACAGG
rnacentral:rRNA from 1 species